UAGUUAAGUGAAUAACGUAUAUUGGGA
rnacentral:sRNA from 1 species